UACGGAGGAGGCAAGCGUUAUCCGGAAUUAUUGGGCGUAAAGCGUCCGUAGGUGGCUCUUCAAGUCUGCUGUCAAAGAGUGGGGCUUAACCCUGCAAAGGCAGUGGAAACUGAAAGGCUAGAGAGCCGUAGGGGUAGAGGGAAUUCCCGGUGUAGCGGUGAAAUGCGUAGAUAUCGGAAGGAACAUCAGUGGCGAAAGCGGCUUCCUGGACCAGAACUGACGAUCAGGCACGAAAGCGUGGGGAGCAAACAGG
rnacentral:rRNA from 1 species